AUGGGCAAGGGCAUGAAAGUGGUGCUGGUCCUGACUGGAUGCUACUCCGGAUGCAAAGCCGUCAAUCUGAGGAACAUCCAGGAUGGCACCUCAGAUGCUCACAGCCAUGCUCUGGUGGCUGGAACUGACCACUACCGCCUAAAAGUGUCAGCUGCAUAGGCAACAAGAAAAUCACCAGGAGAUCAGAGAUCAUGUCCUCUGCGAAUUUAUAUGAGUACAAUCACCUCUUGCUCACAACGUACUCUGCAGAUAUCCCCUCAGACAAAACUGUUGUCAACAAAGAUGUCUUAGAGGCCCUUUGGAGCUCUAAAAUGCAUAGCCAUGCAGAAGGCAGGAGGCCAAAUGUGAGGAAAGAUACAAGACAGGAAAGAACAAAUGGUUUUCCCAGAAACUGCCUUUA
rnacentral:lncRNA from 1 species